UCCGAGAUGGUGUAACGGUAGCACAUGUGACUCUGGAUCACAUUGUUUAGGUUCGAAUCCUAAUCUCGGAGCCA
rnacentral:tRNA from 1 species